rnacentral:tRNA from 1 species
AGCGUAGCUCAGUUGGCAGAGCAGCUGAUUUGUAAUCAGCAGGUCGUGGGUUCGAAUCCCUCCGCU